CAAUAGCGUAUAUUAAAGUUGUUGCAGUUAAAAAGCUCGUAGUUGGAUUUCUGUGAGAGUGCCGGUGUCGGCUGAUGCUUGUACGCAGGCGCUCUUACAUCCUUCUGUUAACUGUUCUUGGCAUUUUAUUGCUGGUUCAGGGCUCAGAUAUUUUACCUUGAGAAAAUUAGAGUGUUUCAGGCAGGCUCAUGCCGGAAUACAUUAGCAUGGAAUAAUGGAACAGGACCUGUGCGUCUCUCGGGGCGCCGGUCUCCGUUAUUGGUUUCGGGGACUAAUGUAAUGAUUAAUAGGGAUAGUUGGGGGCAUUAGUAUUUAAUAGUCAGAGGUGAAAUUCUCGGAUUUGUUAAAGACUAACUUAUGCGAAAGCAUUUGCCAAGGAUGUUUUCAUUAA
rnacentral:rRNA from 1 species